rnacentral:lncRNA from 1 species
CUUAACCCUGUGGAUAGCUAGUAAAGGAUCUGGCUAGAUUGUUUUAAAAAUCAAAUCGUUCUGACAAUAGUGUAGACCUUCAAAAACAUAAAAAAUAGGUGCUUUCCAAAAAGCAAUAUGAAACUAGGCAUUACAAAAUAAUUUUAUCUUUUAUUUGGAUGGAGAAAAAAGAAAUAAAAAAUAAAGUUAGAAGAGAUAAUCAUUUU